GGGAGAGCAGGGGGUGCUGGACUUUUCCCGCACGGCCGCGGCCAGGCGGAUCCGGCGUGCUCCUCCCAGCCGUGGGCUUCCACUUACCAGUGUGAGUUCGGACGUGUCUCUUGAGGUCGAAGGUGUCAUUGAAGCCCUUCCCGCAGUACGUGCAGAGGUGCCUCUUGACGUCGUUGUGACACUUCAUGUGGCGGUUCAGCAUGCGCUGGUGGAGACAAACAGGAACCUCUACCCUCCUCUGCCUGUUAGUACUGGAUGGUGUGAGCGAGGUCCCCCAGCUGCACCACAGCAGGGCAGGAGACAGCAGGGUGCCCGCCCAGAACAGUGGGAGCAGUGCUUCCUGUUGCAGCCCCCACCCAGCCAGGCACAGGCCCAGUGCCUCUGUGGGACUCCAUCCAGGACUUGUUGAAAUGGCCGAUGAUACAAAGGAGCCCCGACUUCACCCAUGGCCAGCUUCCCUCGCCAUCCUCCCUGCAGCCAAAGGACUCGCCCUCACCUGUUCUUUCUGAGACAAAUCAUCUGCCAGGUUUCCGCCUCGGGACACCCAAGCUCAGCACAGACAGCCUAGCAGCCUGGGUGACAGGAUCCCAGGGGACAGGAUUCUCUCCUUGCCAUGGGGAUGAGGACAAAUUCUCCCUUCAUCCUUGAGAUUGGACUCCCGCCACACAUCCUGGAGGAGCCUACAGAGAAGCCGGCAGGUCUCCCUCACCUGGAUGGUGCCAGCGGGUGGCCUGGACCACCCAGAGGCCCUCUCCUGCACCUGACAGGAAGCCCCUGGGGCAUACGUCUCCCCUGCCACUUCCACUGUGGCCACUGGAAGUGUGGCAGAGAAAAUAGCUAGGACAAAAAGAAGUCAAUGAUUUCAACCAACGGAAUUUCUUUGUCCUUUGUAAAAAUCAACACAUGAUCUGUUACUGAUUGGGAUGUGAAAUAAAACUAAAAAUAACAGCACACUGAGCCUGGCUCAGGGCUCAGCUCACCUUUACCACGGUCCAAGUUCAGUUUAUCAGAUCCCAAGGAGCAGCUAAGCAGCAAGUCAAACACAGGGCAAGCGGGGCGCAGCGGGCGCCUGUCCCACCGUCUCGGCUCACUGCGCGGGACUAGCAGCCGGAGCCCAACGAAAAUUUGGGGGCCCACGCCCCCCACCGGCCCGACCCUCACUCCGACCCGGCCACCAGUGUUGUGGGGGAGGAGGAAGGACCUGUGCGAGCGGCUGAAGCUCUGAGCUUUUAACACAAAUCUCGGCCGAAACUCCAGCCCGCUCCCCGCCCCCCAAAGUGGCAUCGCUCCAGUGCCUUCUCCCGCCUCAUGCGAGUCCCGGUUUUCUGGAUUUACGACGUCGGAGCCGAGGGUCGCCUGAGCGGUGACACACCCCGCUGCCUCCUCUGUGCCGCGGUUCAGGGGGUGGGGGUAGGCGGUUCCGCGCCCCCUGGCCCUGGGAGCGGCUCCCCUUCCACCAUGCAGCCCCCGCCCCGACCAGCGCUCUUCCGCCGGCCCCGCCCCCGCCCCCCGAGUCCCGG
rnacentral:lncRNA from 10 species